CCUGUCCUCUCCUGCAGACCCCCCCCACCUGUUCCAGAGGAGGGCUGGUCUCUGGUGCCGUGUGCUCAUCCCACCAGGAUCGUCCUCCAGUGGCCGCAGCAGUCCGGCUCCUCCCCCCGACCCGAGCCCCCCCGUGAGCCUCUGCCGGUGAGGAAGGUCCCGGAGCAGCAGUGGAUGAAGAGCGCCCGACUUCUGAUGAAGAAGAGGAGCCAGGUGGGCAGCAGGUGGCGCAAGAGAGGAGCUGAGGCUGCAGAGAGGAGCAAAGAGGGGAGGAAAGAAGCGAAGAGGAGAGGAGGAGGGAGGCAAAAUUAAGAGUGACAUCUCACAAACAAAAUGGUAAUAAUCAAGAUAUCCAAUAUCAUUUCUAGAUUUCACAAAGUUAUUUACGUUUGUAAAGAACUUCACAUGCAACGAAGGUAAAAACCAAGUUAUUCAAUCUUUUGUUUCUAGAUUUCAGGAAGUUCAGUUCACUUGUUCACACGUUAUUUUUGAAGAUUCUAACAUCACUUGUUUUUAUUUUUAGAGAGAGGAGAGGGUAGGAGAGGAGGUGGAGGGGCAAAACUAGGCAUGACUUCUCAUGUAAAGAAGGUCAAAUACUGAUACUAGAUUUCACAAAGUUCUGUUCACGUGUUAUUUGAAGAUUUUAACAUGUUUUCCUUUUGUCUUUUAGAGACCUGAGAGGAACUGAGGAGAGGAAGGGAGGAGGCAAUAAUUAAGUUUGACCUCUCACAAAAAAAGAAUUCAGGAGAGAAGAAAGGGUUAAAGAACAGGACAUGUGAAGAGACGAGGAAAGAGGCUGAACAGAAGAGAUUCUAAGUUUUGGAAUAAAAUGACGAUGCUAUGUAGUAAUUAUUUUAAAUAUUGUAAGGUUGCAAUAAACUAUAACUUGUGUAAUUUUGAGGAGAAUAAAUAUGAUUUGUAAUAAAACAUUUUAAAUAAAAAUGCCUUGGUUUACAGAGUGUUGCUUGUAUGUUUUGUCAGACAGCACCUAUCUUUACAAAUAUUUAGUCUCAGCCAACAGGAGUGGGUUUCACAUUUUACUGUAAGAAACUUUGGCUUCCAGAAAAUCAAGGCUUCAAAGUCCUGCAGUGUUCUUCAUUUCUCACACAACCACACAUAUAAUAGGCGUUUGGAUAUGGACUACAUUUCUUGAUGCUUUGGCUAAUGCCUGCAGGUCAUCUGGCUAAGCCUUUCAGAAGCAAUGUGAUUCCAUUAGAAGGACUCAUGCCAGUAAUCAAAGCUUUUAAUAAUCAGAUGCAUUUCAUGUUCUACUUUGUUCUGGCAUCAGUGGCUUAGACAAAGAAACAUUAUUUGACUUCAGACUAGAAGGGAUAUCUGACUAUUCCAUACACUUGUAUCUAAUUAUCUACUACAUACUGUUCCUAACAAGCAUUCAUUUUAGGGAGGAAUAAAACCAACACGUGAACCAUGACUUUCAUACUCAUCUUUGUUUUCUUUGAAUUUGAUGAACUGGUUGCUAUAAUACUGCUCCAAAAGCAUUUCAUACUUAAGAAGAGUAUUAUAUUGUAAAUAUUUCAGUUUGUAACAUUCCUUUUACUUGUUGAAUCCCCCUGAAAAGAGCCAGCUUUAUUGGUCUUCCAUUCAUUGUAGAAAAUGGUUAAUGAUUUUAAAGCAUUUAGUCUUUAUAAUAUUCUUGUGCUAAAAGAUUAUUUAGAGUGAUAUGAUAUACUAUACUUGAAUGAAGCUUGCAUUAGUCAUAAAAAACCUACUUUAUGACAAAUAUUUCGAAAAUUCGAAGCAGCUUGUUCUUUGUUGUGGCAAAUAAAGCAAUAUUGCAACGAUUUGCCACAACAAACAUAUCACAAUUAUUUGAUGAUGAAUUAAAGAUUUAAAAGAUGCUGAUUUUUAUAUAUACAUUUUAUUGACUGUUGGCAACCACAAGUAUGCCAUUCUGUAGACAUCAUAUUGCAUUCUGGUAAAUAAUGUCAAACAUUUGUUAUUAUUUAGCGUUAGUUGUUUUGCCACAUAACUAGAUCAUUGCUCCAUGUUUAUAAGGUAUUUAUUUGACAUGUACUUGACCUCCUGACUGUGUGACCAGCAGAUGUCAGCAUCUACACACUUUUAAUGGCUGCUGCCAUCCUGGAGUCUGAACUCAAACACCUCCAGUGAGUGGCUUAGACGCAAGCAGUGGGGCAGUCAACUUCAAACGUAUGAUAGUUCAGUGAAGCUCACUCUCCUCUUUUCUAUUUCUUUCCUGUACAUUUAUAUAAGUGCAUGUAUUACUGUAAGGUCAAAGAUUAAGAUGUGCCAGUUUGUUCUAUAUACAUAUCGGAUGAGGAUAAUUCAGCAUCAUUCACAAUGACACAAUUAUCAAUACAUAAAUGUUAAUGGUCGAAAUCAGACCAUACCAAAUAUAUUUAACCUAAUGUGUUGCAAUGCGGAAUGAAUGCUUCAGUUCUGAUGGAGUGCCAUACACAGUACUGGCUUCAUUCAACACCUCCUUAUAUUAAAGUUAAUGUGCAGUCUUUGUUGAAAAUAUGAUUAAGAGGAUUAGAUUCUACUUUAUGAUCACUAUAUCUUGUGCUGCUGUUGUCUUAUCCCAUUUAUGUCCAGGAGGGUAACAUCCUCUAUAUUAAAAAGGGUAGACAAAGUGAUAUCUGGUUUAACUAUCAAAAUAAACUGCACUUUCCACAUGACAAUGGUGAGCUGACAAAUCAACACACAGAAAGAUCUUUGACAAACUAAUACAGAUUAGAUUUCUUGCUUUUCUUUGUUUUAUAUCAUGCUCAUAUCUUAGUAAAUAUCUCUGAGUAUGGACUGUCAUAUCAAUUUAUAGACAUCACAUUGGAUUUUGAGAAACUAUCAUGGACAUUUUAAACUAUUUUCUUAAAUUGUAUAUGCCAAACAUUUAAAAAAAAUAAUCUAACUA